rnacentral:rRNA from 1 species
AUUGAACGCUGGCGGCAGGCCUAACACAUGCAAGUCGAGCGGAUGAAGGGAGCUUGCUCCUGGAUUCAGCGGCGGACGGGUGAGUAAUGCCUAGGAAUCUGCCUGGUAGUGGGGGAUAACGUCCGGAAACGGGCGCUAAUACCGCAUACGUCCUGAGGGAGAAAGUGGGGGAUCUUCAGACCUCACGCUAUCAGAUGAGCCUAGGUCGGAUUAGCUAGUUGGUGGGGUAAAGGCCUACCAAGGCGACGAUCCGUAACUGGUCUGAGAGGAUGAUCAGUCACACUGGAACUGAGACAUGGUCCAGACUCCUACGGGAGGCAGCAGUGGGGAAUAUUGGACAAUGGGCGAAAGCCUGAUCCAGCCAUGCCGCGUGUGUGAAGAAGGUCUUCGGAUUGUAAAGCACUUUAAGUUGGGAGGAAGGGCAGUAAGUUAAUACCUUGCUGUUUUGAUGUUACCAACAGAAUAAGCACCGGCUAACUUCGUG